rnacentral:rRNA from 1 species
CAGAAAGACCCUAUGAAGCUUUACUGUAGCUUGAUAUUGGCUCCGGGCUUUGUUUGCGCAGGAUAGGUGGGAGGCGUUGAAGAUUUUCUUGCGGGGAAGUUGGAGCCGUUGGUGAGAUACCACUCUAACAAUGCUAGGAUUCUAACCCUAUACCGUUAUCCGGUUAGGGGACAGUUUCAGGUGGUCAGUUUGACUGGGGCGGUCGCCUCCCAAAAGGUAACGGAGGCGUGCAAAGGUUUCCUCAGGCCGGUCGGAAAUCGGUCGUAGAGUGUAAAGGCAUAAGGAAGCUUGAUUGUGAGACCUACAAGUCGAACAAAGACGAAAGUCGGCCUUAGUGAUCCGACGGUUCCGAGUGGAAGGGCCGUCGCUCAACGGAUAAAAGUUACUCUAGGGAUAACAGGCUGA